GAUGAACGCUGGCGGCGUGCCUAACACAUGCAAGUCGAGCGGCAGCGAGGGGUGCUUGCACCCUGCCGGCGAGCGGCGGACGGCUGAGUAACGCGUGGGAACGUGCCCCAAAGUGAGGAAUAACUGCCCGAAAGGGUAGCUAAUACCGCAUAUUAUCUUCGGAUCAAAGGAUUUAUCCGCUUUGGGAGCUUCUCGCGUCGGAUUAGGUAGUUGGUGAGGUAAUGGCUCACCAAGCCGGCGAUCCGUAGCUGGUCUGAGAGGAUGACCAGCCAGACUGGAACUGAGACACGGUCCAGACUCCUACGGGAGGCAGCAGUGAGGAAUCGUCCACAAUGGGCGAAAGCCUGAUGGAGCAACGCCGCGUGCAGGACGAAGGCGUUCGGGUUGUAAACUGCUUUUAUAAGUGAAGAAUAUGACGGUAACUUAUGAAUAAGGAACGGCUAACUACGUG
rnacentral:rRNA from 1 species